ACCUGGGGGGCUCAAUCGGUUAAGCAUCUGACUUCAGAUCAGGUCAUCUCGCAGUUCGUGGGUUCGAGCCCCACAUCAGGCU
rnacentral:tRNA from 1 species